AAGAGGUACUGCAAGACUGACUCACCAUCGCCUCCAGAGGAACAAAGCGGUGUUACAAUAAAACUUCAUCACCCUUGGAUGGACAAAGUGGUAUUACAAGACUUACUCACUAUUGUCCCCAGAGGAACAAAGUGGUAUUACUGCCGAGGGAAAGUGGAUGUGGGAGGAGUGGAAGUGAUAAAUGUAACGCACCUUCACAUUCAGCCCAAGCAAUCAUGGUUUGACCAAUAAUUGUAGCUGAAGCACUUUACUGCUUCUUACAAAUAAUAAGAUGUGAUGGCGGCGGGGAUUCCCCCCCGAGGGCACAUGCCUAGGAUACAUCAACGAGGGCCACUCAAAGUGCCAUUGGAAUGCAGCCUGAGUCAGUGGUGAUGAGUUAGUCUUGUAAUGCCACGUAGUCCCUCUAGGGGCAAUAAUGACUGUCUCGUAAUGCCACAUUGUUCCUGUAGGUGUGAUAAUGAGUCAUAGUGCUGUUAUGCUGAUUGUAAAUGAAUGAUCAAUGAAGCUUAAUUAUCAAACAACUUGAUGAUGAAAUAUUUCAUUGAUAUUUAAUUUUAAUGAAAAACUGUCAAAAAAUAAUUUUUGUUUUAAAAAUAUUUUUCCAAAAAGGGGUCAAUUUGGGUUUAUACGAUAUGUUUUUUGCUAGUAGGCUUUCACCUCAUGUGCCUGAUGUGAGACAGUAGUAGGAGCAGCUGGGCCUGGCGCCUGGCCUGCUGCUGCACUGAGCACCCCGAUUGGCUGAUGUGAUGUAUGAGGGCGUCGGUGAUGGUGUCCAGCAUGCCUUGCACUGCCACGCUGUCAUGGAGCGGCUCCAUGGUACCCGUGCAGAACGCAAAGGCGCCUAUAAAGAGACACGUUUUUAGAAGCGGCAUGUGCGAGCUACGCUCAAAGACAAACAUGAAUAAAAGAUUCAGGGCAGAGGUUCGAUUGCGAGUGCCCACGCAGCAAUCACGAGUUCAUCGGGCUCCAGCAGCUGAGUCGUUCCUGUCAUCUCUGUGGUAUUUUCACUUUGCUGCUCUAUGGAAUAGCUUCAUCUGUGGGACGAGCUCGGCCCUCAGUGCUGUCAUGUCGCCAUGACAACGCUUAUUGGCCUCAUCCGCGGUACGGGCCUUUCGGGACACCGUGUUCGCGUUCAGUGCUAUGUCUCAGUGCACCACAUACAGUACAGGUGCAUCUCAUUAAAUAAAUAGCGUGCAAAAGUAUUUCAUUUCAGGAGUUCAAGUCAGUAAGGGACUAAUUAAAGGCUUGAGAAGUUUUUGCACUUCUUUUGCUGAUUUGAACACCAACCAGUAGAUUAUAAUUUGUCACGUUUGAUGAGAGGCUGACUAUGUUUUUUUUAUAGGAGGAGCUUUGAAAUCUUUCGCUUUGUAUAGUGAAUUUAUAGACUAUAACAGAUCAAGUUGAACGACUGAAAUAAAUAAAGUUUUUAAAGAUGUUCUCAUUUACUGUGAUGCACCUGUCUAUGAGCCACAGCCAAAAAAUAAACAAGUAAAAUGCCACCUUACCGGAGUUGAGCAAGAUGAUUGCUUUGAGGCAGACAAACUCCUCGGGCUUGAGUCUGAGCAUGCGAAACCGAGAGGCGGUGGCCAGCAGCAUGUCAAAGAUCUCAGCCAUGCCUUCAACACAGUCUCCUUCGCUCCUACUCACCACAAGUCAGCAAACAAAGGAACAAUUAGCCAUGCAGAAUGCAUCAUGUAUUAUUUUGCCAACUUUAAGAUGUCUUAUCAAGUACAUUGCACAACACAGCAGCAACGGAACCGAUGUUGUAAUAGCUAUGUUAAUUAAUUGGAUUAAUAGUUAAUUGGAGUUUACAGGAAUCAUUUCUUGUCACGCAAACUUACUCUUAAAGGUUUAAAAAACAGGAUCAACUGAUUGAUUGAUUGUCAAAUUUCCUAUCCUAAAAUAAAUAUAUAUUUUUUAAAAACAACCUAAACAGAGUAUUUCUGUCAACUAAAGGCCGCAAGUGUCCAGAAAAAGAGCUAACGGAGCGAAAGACUAAGUGGUUCAAGUUUUCUGCACAGUAGACAAGUGAGGGAAGAGCAGACAAUAUCUCAGUGGUCAUGGAGCAGCAGCAGCUGAGGGAAUUCAUCGACCGUGACCUGCUGCGUUUUAGUCAUCAUGUCCAAUCUGGGAGGACACUUACAGCGCGGCCCGGUUUUAGAGAUAAUACGGUAAUACACUUUUCCGAUCAAAUGGGACCAUCAGGCACAUUGCAGGCUAAAAGCUUUGUCUGUCUGCCUCGUGCUCAGCUGUCAUCCAGGGUUUUUUUUCAGGUAGAAGUGAGGAUUGGGCGAGGGUGUUUACUCAGAGCACAGGAGAGGCUGGAUGGAAGGAAACAGCCAACCCUCCCUCCAUCUCUAUUUCCUCGUCCUCUUAACUCCUUCCUACCAUCGUUAUUCAUUUUCUAUCAUUCUGUGCAUUGAAGCUUUGAUUACAUCUGUCCUGCUUGCCAGCUCGGCUCAAUGAUGAUGACAAGGGAGGUGGUCCUCUCUUCACUGUGGGAGACGCGUAAUUAGUCUUUCACUCUAUGACAGACGUGUUGGGACGGCACAAUGGCUGCUAAGGUGCGAAAUGGAAAAUCUACAAUGCUGAUGUGUCACUCCUGAGGUCCUGAGCGAAGAUGAGCUUGCCGGGACAGUGGAUUGACCUCCAGAUGAGGCCGAUCAUCAGCACCUCCAACCAGGAGCUCUCGAGCAGCUGCACCUGGUCGUGCAGGGACAGCUGCAGGAAACCUGAGCACAAAGUCAGCAUUUUGAGCACACCGCCAGGAAGUUGUCGCUACCUUGGAUGCUCCUCUUGAAGAAGGCCUUGCAUCCCUCACAGGACCACACCCCGUAGUGGUAGCCGGAGGCGUAGUCGCUGCACACAGCGCAGAAGCGCGUCUCUUUGGCCAUCUCAAACACCCCAGCGGCUGCGGCGGCCUCUGACCCACCAACAACGUAAGACUCUGCGCUGGUGCUGCACUGCUCAUCCCUGGUGACCUGCUGCUGACUGGCCGGCUCGCUGGACCUGGGACAGCUCAAGGUUCCUGACAAAGUGCUUAAUCUGUGGAAUUAGGAAGCAGAGUGGAUCUUGAGGCUCCCUUCAGUGAUAAUGGCCAUGUUUUAACAGAUUAAACAUAAUGUUACAUAAUUAGUGUGUGCGCAUCACUGCAAUGGUAUAUUUUACACAUUUUACACACAUUUUAUCAAAUAAAACAAUG